rnacentral:rRNA from 1 species
CCCUUAGAUGUUCUGGGCCGCACGCGCGCUACACUGACGAAUGCAACGAGCUUAUAACCUUGGCCGAAAGGUCUGGGUAAUCUCCAAAUUUCGUCGUGAUGGGGAUAGAUUCUUGCAAUUAUUAAUCUUCAACGAGGAAUGCCUAGUAAGCGCAAGUCAUCAGCUUGCGUUGAUUACGUCCCUGCCCUUUGUACACACCGCCCGUCGCUCCUACCGAUUGAAUGGUCCGGUGAAGCGUUCGGACCGUGGCCUUUGGACGGUUCGCCGUCUGUUGGCUGCGGGAAGUUCGUUAAACCUUAUCAUUUAGAGGAAGGAGAAGUCGUAACA